ACCAAAAACUAGAAUGGAACUCAACAUGUGGCUAAAGCAUAAGAAACAUAAUACAACCAGUGACUAAAGUAUAAUAACCAGGAAAUCAAAGAACGGGUCCAAACAGUAGAUCAAAGAGCGGGAAAGAAAAAGGACACAGACAGGGGACAAACCUAUAACAUAAGCCCAGACAGGGGCAGACCCUGAUAAUAUUAGCUUGUUGAAAAGGUGUAUAAUCCAAGCCCUUUACCAUCGGUACACAGUCAGAGAGUAUGUACAGUAUUAGGCUGCGAUUGGAGCAGAAUUGCUCUUCUUUAGAUCCGCAUCUUAUUUCUGAAUGCUACAAUUCAUUAUAGAUUAGCCAUGUGGCAAUCGUUUAUCUACGGGAGGUUCUGUGUGGUAAUAAUGAUUAAAUCACUAUAUUUUAUAGGGACAUCAUCCUUCAUGCCAUGACUGGCUGUUCAUAGACAUGCUUUUCCUUCCUCGGUGUACUGCAAUGAAUCAUAACGCUAAUUGUUUACAUCAGCAUCACCUCACGCCUUAAUGUACAGUAUAGUUUCUGGCAUUGAAUGUAAAUUAUUGUUACAGUGGUCAGUUUGUAUGCUGUAUGUUAUCAUGGUGCUCCAAUCUGUGUGUGUUCGUGAAUGUAGUGAUUCUGUAACAUGGGUGUAAAGAAAUCUCUGUGUUUUGAAGAUUCCUGUGCUUUGAAUACUGUUUUGGUUUUAUGAAAUGCUGUAAACCAAUUAAAGCAUCAAGGCCACUCCAGUCUAAUAUAACAACCAUUGAUCAAAUGCAGGGACUUCAAAUGUCAUCCUUUUUCAUACGCUUUAGUCAAGUGUGCUUCAAUUGUAGAGUCUGCAUAAUAAGGAUAAUGCUAUUGUAUUGUGGCCAGCAGAAGAAAAAUUUUAAAAAAUUUAAUUGUGUAAUGACCUUCAAUAUAAAAAUUGGACAAACAAAUGCAUAGUUUCACAUAAUAGUUUUGUGCUAUGCAUACAGAAAUGUGACUUCAAUCUUACACUGCUUUGUAGCUCCACGUGGUUCUAUUCAAAUUACAUUACAGGUUGUAGCAACAUCAUUUGGUAAACAGACAGUGUCAGGUAUAUAAAAAAAACUUCAAUUAUAUAUGUCUAAAUUACAAGGAGGUUGUCAGUGCACUCCUUGUCCUUCAGUGCAGGUGCUAAUAUCACUGCUGCAAAGAAGCACAAACCAAAGGAGCUUUAGCAGCAUCCGGAACAUAAAUGCUGCACAAUCACUACUGCAUAGAUUAAGAGGCCUUGAUUAGAACUGAGUAAAAACAAAAUUGAUGCUAGAAAAAAAAAACAUACUUGUAACUUGAAAUUUGUUUUCUCAGUGUUUAAAACCGAGAUGACAUUUUCAUUCGUCAUCAGGUAUCUCUGGUCUCAAGAGCUGUUUUUAUUGUGUAGGAGCUGUAAUUUCUGUAGCAUGUGUUCUUGAAAUGUGUAAAUAAUAUUUACUAAAUAAAAAAGGAACAAC